GACAUACAAGGGACUGCGGUGGAAUUACGCUGUUCUUCGCACCUUCUGAGUUUUUCUUAAGGGAAACACGAAUAAGAUAGCUCACCAACUGAAAAUACCAACCUACAGAUAUCUCCAAAGACAUUGGAAUAUGAAAUGACACCUCUUCACAACCUCCUGGGCACUGAGGGAAACUGUCUUUAUCUAACAGGCACUGUGAAAACUACUUCUGGCCUUUGAUCCUGUUCUGGGAACCUCACGUGUGACCCGCACAUAAUUACGACCUUCACAGCCAGCAUUGGUGGGAUCUGUGUCGGGGCACCUGUGAUCUGGAAUGUUUCCCACCUGUUGAAAUAAGUAUUUUAUAGCUGCGUGAAAGGGGGGAAAAUAUGUUUAUUCCUGUUCAUUCCAUGGAGAUUUUGAAAUCGAAAUCAAAAUCUUAUCGCAGUCCCAUUUGCCAUCCUUCCCUAUUUUUGGUUCACUUUUGUGUAGUCACUUGGAGAAUGCCAUCAUGCUUGUGCUUUCUUCCCAAGGAAAUUGUGUUAUCAAAUAUAUAUAAUUUGUUGACCAACAGUGGGGGCUUCAUGAGAUUGUAAAGGAGCCAUAUACCAUAUUCGUCACAACAUCUGGGACUGUGCCUAAUCCUGGAAUUACUGGCAUCUGCAUAUCAUUUCAAUAGUAAAUUACAGCUGGGAUAUGCUAACCCCAAAGAGCUUUUGCUUCUCAGGCACUCACUUAUCUUCAUCCACUGCUCCUCCCUCGCCAGCCGACCACUUGCCAUCCUCAUCUCGCACGGUAACCCCAGGAAAAUCUUCCCAUGCGUUCCCUGGCAGCCAGACGCUGUUGUAGUCCACAUUGGCUCUUAGGCAGGCUCUGACCUGUGAAUGUUGUCGGAGCCGUGACCCGUUCCUUGUUCCGCUCAGCACGGCUUGCCUAAACAGAUGACCUUUAUGUGAUGGUAACCAUGAAACUUCUUGGCUUUGUCUCCUUCGAAGUCUCUAAGAAAUCUCUACCAUUACCAUGGAACAUUGCUGUCCAAAUGGAAAGUAGAAGGAAAUUGUUGGAUUUUCACUACAGCACAAUCUUCUGCAAGUGGCAGUUUCUUUGGUGGAUGGCUGAUAUUGCUCCAGCACAUUUAUACAAUGACCUUAUCCUAUAUAAUGGUUCACAUUUUCUUUGGGUUAUUACAGAUGCUUAUUCAUCAAAAGGAUUGUGAUUCUACAAAUGCUGAAAAGCCUUCAUCCCCAGAACUUCAGUGACGUCUUGAGCUGUUCACUAUUUGCAGGGGUAGAGUCUGCCUUCCCAGAAUUUCUCUUUGCAAGAGAAGGAAAAUAGGAUUUUUUAGGUGACUGUAACUAUAUGUUCAACGUACUGUUUAAGAGGUACCUGUCAUCUGUAGACAGCCCAGUCUGGUGAAAUGCAUCGGUGGAAUGAAGUCCUAAAGAAUGAACUAACACCAACACUCUCCACCCUCUUCUUUUUGUGUGUCUCUGCAUGGAAAGUCUCCUAAAUGGUUAGUAUUUCUCAUCUUCUGUGAAACUCGCUUUCUGUUUGGCUCACCAUCUACCACGUUCUCCCACCUGGUAUUGAUUUUGAUGGAGGUGCCAAAAUUACAUGACUGCUGCCUUUUUGUUAAAGAUCUUCACAACUGAAAUGCUUAAAACACCCUUAGAUAGUCAGUGCAUGAAUAAGAGACAAUUACGGUAUUUAAUUCAGAAACAUGGUGAAGUAAUUUUAUCAACUCCUAUGCAGUUGUGAGCACAGAAAAGUUCAGCUUCCCAUGUACUGCUCAAUAUACAACCUUGGAAGAAUGAAUUGAUAAGAGUCUGAGUUGUGCUUCCAAGAAAUCUAGAGAUUAUCCCAUUUGUGCUAGUUGUUGAAGUUGUUUCUGCGAGCCUUGACUUUCAUCACGUUAUCUAAAAGCUCCCUGAUAUGGAUACCAGGAAAAAAAUAAUCAAAAUUCGACUUUCUUCUUUAAACUUCAGUGCAGGAAGUAGGAGGUGGCUUGAGGAAGUCUAGUCCUUUCCACGUGAAGACUGGAAAGAUGCUGUCUCUGGCUUAAAGUUGCCAGCUUCUGGCAAGCUCAGCCACUGAUGGCUUGAGCCCUGAUCCUUGGUGAAGCCUAACAACCAUAAACCCCGCUUUGCCGGCUGGGCUCACCGUAACCUCAGAGAUCCGGGCAGGCAGAGCUCAGAAAUGUGUUUUAAUCAUUUAAUGAGUUUGAAAUACUCCUGGAAAAAAAAAAAAAAACACAAAAAAAACCCAAACCAAAACUUGCUAUUAGGCUCUAACCAUUACUAUAACAACGAUUACAAAGAAUACAAGUUUCUUUACACUAACCUAGAAUCUGUCCAACCAAAAAAAAAAUGCCGCUGCUUUUAAUCUAAAGUGAAUAAUUCAUGGUUUAGUUUAAGCAAUUAUAAGAAUAUAGACCGUUAUCUGCUUUGAUCUAUGUAAGUAAUAUACAUUUAAAGGGGGCAUGCAGCAAAAAAUAAAAGCAGGGAGUGUUUAUUCCUCUAGUUCUGCUUUUUAAAAAAAAUGUUAUGACUGUAUUUAAAGUGUCAACGUUUCUGAUAUCAGUAAAUCUAACUGUAGAUUAACGAAGUGGAGAUAAAUUAAGAUGUAAAUGAAUGCUACAUGGUAGGAAGGAUUAGGUCAAAGGUCUGAUCUAUCUGAAGUGCAACUGUUGCAUGUGUUUCCAUCCAGUAGUGCAAUAUCAAUUUAUUUGCACUUUGUUUUGAUGCAUCUAGACUUUAAAAUAUCCAAGAGGUGUAUAUUAUGUAUAAAAAGCUGAAAAGGAGUUAGGAAUCAUAUGACUGUUACUAUCUGGGCCCUGAUUCUGCUGCUGGGAUGUUGAUGCUUGGGGUAGAUGGAACCCAGCUAUGUUUUUCUAGGUGUGUAUGGCAACCUGCUGAUCGCUGUCUCAACAGAAUAAACUCUAAACCUUU